rfam:Papilio xuthus contig17545, whole genome shotgun sequence.
CCUUCGAUAGCUCAGUUGGUAGAGCGGUGGACUGUAGAGGUAUCGCCACAAGACAUCCAUAGGUCGCUGGUUCAAAUCCGGCUCGAAGGA